rnacentral:rRNA from 1 species
UACGUAGGUGGCAAGCGUUGUCCGGAUUUAUUGGGCGUAAAGGGAGCGCAGGCGGUGACUUAAGUCUGAUGUGAAAGCCCACGGCUCAACCGUGGAAGGUCAUUGGAAACUGGGUCACUUGAAUAUAGAAGAGGAAAGUGGAAUUCCAUGUGUAGCGGUGAAAUGCGUAGAUAUAUGGAGGAACGCCAGUGGCGAAGGCGACUUUCUGGUCUAUUAUUGACGCUGAGGCUCGAAAGCAUGGGUAGGCAAACAGGAUUAGAUACCCCCGUA